GUUCUUGAUCAUCAAUCAUAGUUUGGAACAUAAAGUUAAAGACUACUUGUGCUUGAUUCCAGGUCAACCCAAAAGGCACCUGUUGACAACUGGAUGGAGUGUAUUUGUUAGCUCUAAAAGACUUACGGCAGGCGAUUCUGUCCUUUUCAUAAGGUACGGAAUAUUUGAAUUAAAAGCAUAGUUGGUUAAGCUUAACUGAACAUGUUUGGAAACAAAAAAGUGAGUUUCACUUGUUUUUAAGCUUAGCCAAACAUUCUCUCUGUUUGUGCUUAGCGUUAUCCUUGUCACUGAACUGCAAAAGUGUGAUAUAGAGACGAAAAGUCACAUCUUCUCUUGGGUAUAAGACAUGCUACCAGACAGCAGCCUGCUAUCUCCUCGUCUGUCAUAUCUAGUGACAGCAUGCACAUGGGAGUUCUUGCAGCUGCAGCUCAUGCGGCUGGGAACAACAGCCCAUUUAAGAUAUUCUACAACCCAAGGUAGUCGAACUAAUACCUUUUUCAACUGUUAAAGUACACUGGAUUAACUUUGUGAAAUUUUUUGAUUCCCUGAUGAAACCUAAACUUUUACAGGGCUAGCCCUUCUGAAUUUGUUAUUCCUCUUGCAAAGUAUAACAAAGGAAUGUAUACCCAAGUUUCAUUAGGUAUGCGUUUCAGGAUGAUGUUUGAGACUGAGGAAUCCGGAGUCCGCAGGUACAUGGGUACCAUUACUGGCAUUGGUGAUUUGGACCCAGUGCGAUGGAAAAAUUCACAGUGGCGUAACCUUCAGGUACUGGUUUUCUCUUUUCAUUUUGCUGAAAGUCUUCAACAUUUAUCUUUAGUGUGUAUGAUCAUGAACAUUUAGAACUUCGUGAUCGCUGUUCUACUCUCUUGGAAACUAAAUUUUUCCACUGCCCACCUAGGAUAUAACUCGACUGGUUGGUAAAUAUGUUGUCUAUAAUCAGUUUUUAGGCUAGCUUCUCUCAGUUUACCAUGCUAAAAGCUGCAUCUCAUUUUUGGUUUUGGCUUUUCUCCAAAUAUGUGCAUUGUAUCUUUCCAAUUUUUAUGUUUUCCUCUGCCGUAAUUGACCUUCAUUAAUUUCUAAUCAUGGUUUAGAUGUAUCCAAAAGAUUUAUCCUUGAUAUAUUCUACUACAAACGUCUUUUCCUCGAAACUUAUUCGAUUUCUAGAUCUCAUAAUCAAUUAUCAUUACUUUCGUUAGGUUGGAUGGGAUGAAUCUACUGCUGGGGAACGUCCUAGUCGAGUAUCAAUUUGGGAAAUCGAACCUAUUGUGACUCCCUUCUAUAUUUGUCCACCACCAUUUUUCAGACCUAAGUUUUCGAAACAACCAGGUUUCCCAGGUAAUCCAAGUUGACCACUUAUCUAUCUUUUAUUAUUCUGGGAUGUCAAACAGCUAUAAGUUACAAAUUUGUAUUAGUUUUAUUUGGUGUGUUUGUGGGAGACUGAAUGUGUCCAUAAGUUUUUGUUGAAAUUGCAAUAAUUUGUUGCAAAUGUUCAAAUUUUCCUCAAACUCGUGUUUUUACAGAUGAUGAUUCCGAUAUAGAGAAUAUUUUCAAGAGAGGCAUGCCCUUGAUUGGAGAGGACUAUGGUUUAAAAGAUACCUCAAGCUUCAUAUUCCCCGGGAUGAGUUUAGUUCAGUGGAUGAACAUGCAGCAGAAUCAACAGUUCACAGCUAAUCAGUCUGGACUUUUCCCGGACGGGCUCUCUUCAACUAACCUACACGGUAACCUUGGAACUGACGACUGCUCCAAGCUGUUGAAUUUCCAAUCCCCGGCCUUUGCUUCCCAAAAUCUCCAACUCAGCAAAAUCAAUCAACAAGUUGGACAACUUCAACAGCAGCCGUCUUCUGCGUGGCCCCAACAGCAGCCGCUGCAGCAAAUGUUAACGUCUUCUAUAAACCCUAUAAAUAAUGGUGUAGCUCCUGACCAGAAUCCAUAUCAAAAUUCACAGCAAACAGCAAUUAUCUCCCAACAACUUCAGCAACAACAGUUAAUAAGAGGCAAUACACAAAUGCAGCAAAAUGUUCCCUCAGCAAACAAAAGUACAGUACCCAUGAUAUCUUUACCUCAGGACACUCAGUUUCAGCAACAUAUUGAACAACCAUCUAGCCUUGUGCAGAGGCCCCAGCAACAGCAGACAGAAAUGCAACAAACUCGGCCACAAUUUCCGCAGCCAAUCUCAAUACAAAAGCCACAAGGGAAACAGACAUCACAACAGAGUAUUUCGGAACAUCAGCUGCAAAUGCAGAUUCUCCAGAAACAUCAGCAGCAACAGCAGCUGCAACAGGUGCCGUCCCCUGUAAGUUCUUUUUUGGAGCCUCCGUUUUCCCAACAACAACAGGCUCUUCAACAAAACCAGCAAGCUCAGCAUUUCAGCAGCACCGGCUUUUCAGCAUCAACACUUGUGCAAUCACCACAAUUUCCUGUCAACCAACUCUACAGCCAGCAAAAGUCUACGUUCACUGUCAAAUCACAUUCCGAACCAGCUGAUGCGGCUGGCCCAUCAUGUUCAAUCGCACCUUGUACAAACAAUAUGCAAGCUUCGCUGUCGAACUUUCUGAACAGAAAUCAAUUGGGAUCAGCUGCAUUACUUGAUAAUUCGGUUAUUCAUCCUGUUCCUAGUUUAGCUCCAGAGUCUCAUAGCAAGGCUGAUAUCCUAAUAAAAAGUGAUUUACCUAGUUAUAAAGGACCGAAGCAGCCUAAAUACCGAAAUACAGCUAAAGAUCACUUGGAUGCAGCUUCAAGCGCAACAUCGUAUUGCUUGGAUGCUAGUGGGCGGCAGAACUUUUCUCUUGCUGGCUUGGAUGGUGACAUUCAAUCACAUCCCCAGAGCAGUCUUCCUUUCACAAGCAGUAUUGAUGGAUUGACACCUGAUGCUUUGUUGUCAAGGGGUUGUGAUUCCGGGAAGGAUAUCCAAAACUUGCUCUCUAAUUACAGUGGUAAUCCAAGGGAUAAUGAAACAGAAUUUUGCUCUGCUGGAAUCAAUUCUCAAACAUUUGGGUUGCCAAAGAUGUCAUUUAACGCCAGUUGUUCAAAUGAUGCUGGGAUCAAUGAGGCUGGUGUUUUAAAUAGUGGGUUGUGGCCAAACCAGAUUCAGCGUAUGCGAACAUACACAAAGGUCUCUCUCUCUCUCUCUCUCUCAAACACACUGUUACACACACACGCACACUCUUCAAACUGGUCACCUGCCAAGUUCCCCCGCCACAAAAAUAGAAAAAUGAAAAAAAAUUACAGCAUAAUAGAAUCCAUCUACAUUCUCUUUGAGAACACUUACACGAAGGAACCGUAAUAUGAAAUAAAUUUUAUCUAAUUUCUUUCCCUCUUCGUUUGGAGACAGCCUGAUUACUAGAAAUUAUGCAGGUUCAAAAACGUGGCUCUGUGGGUAGAACUAUUGAUGUCACUCGUUACAAGGGGUACGAUGAACUUAGGCAUGAUCUAGCCCGUAUGUUUGGUAUCAAUGGACUACUUGAAGAUCCACAACGAUCUGAAUGGAAACUUGUCUACGUAGACCAUGAAAAUGACAUGUUACUUGUUGGCGAUGACGCUUGGGAGUAAGUGUUUAGCAACUGUCCUUGUUAUCUUAGUUUUUCGUUGAAAGAACACAAAAAUAACUUUGAAAAUUUUUCUCAGUGAGUUUGUGAGCUGCGUUCAGAGUAUAAAGAUACUGUCCUCUGCUGAGGUACAACAAAUGAGUUUAGAUGGAGAUUUAGCUCAGCCUCCUGCCCCAAACCAAGCACUCAGUGGAACAGACAGUGGUAAUGCUUGGAGAGGACAGUAUGAUGAUAAUUCUGCCAACUCUUUUAAUCGGUGAAAGCAUUGCAGAGAUUAACUUUUAUCAGCAGGAAAUGUUAGAAGGUAGAUGUAAAUUUCUUGUACCAUCGAAUGUUAAAAAGCUUGUCUGAAAUUUUUUGAAGUGCUUGUGCAUUCUUGUAGAAGAAUCAAGAAAACUAUAUAUACUUGACGAAACAAACAAUUUUUUAUUCAACUUUAAAAAAGGGAAAAUUCAGUCCAGUGCCAUCAUUUUCAUUCCUAAAUGGAUGCAACUCCAUAUUCUUUGCACUAAAUUACGCUAAACUGACAGUUCAAGAAAAUAUUCAUUUAGGACUGGAAUUCUUUUGUGAGAUAUCAGAAACUGGAAAAUAAGGACACAGACAAGCAGCUCUUUAAACGACUACAAAGAACAACAAAUGGUUCUCGAACUGAAAAAUCAUUACACUUUGAUUUCUUUCAUUACGCUGCAAAAAGUCGUCAUAUUGAUCCGGAUUACAACAAAUUUCUCAAGUUUCGCUUUUGCUGAACCAACUAAGAAAGGACAGCCAUGACCUCUGAAGCCCUUAGUGCUAUGUAGUUAGAACCGUCACUGCCCUUGAAAUCGUUUCCUGCAUAUUUGGAGUACAAAACUGUGUUCCCGGGGAUAACUGACAAUGGCUUCCUGUUACCUUCCUCAUCAAGGGGGCCAGGCCCGACUGCAAUCACCUGUAAUUGAAGAUGGAAA
rnacentral:lncRNA from 1 species